GUAGCCCCCAAACGUAGGUGAGUUUGCACCGAACUGGGUUAACAAUUGCCUGUGUCACUUGUACUUGUCUUUUAUCCUGUUUAUAUUGUUCAGAUAUUAGUGUCGUGACAUUACCUUCGACAUCUCAUAUCUGAUACCAUAAUUUCACAAACCAAAAAAGUCCACCACUACCAUCGUUGUCUUUCCAUGCUUAAUCCAUAUCUCCUUCUAACUAAGGCCAAUUUCUACUCUCAUGGCUAAGUCGAUGCAAAAAGAAUCCAGAACCCUAACUUCUUGAAAUUAAAUUAAACCGCUUUAAGGGGAAAUCAAACUCCCAAUGGUUAGGGCUUUGACUCCACUUAUCUCACCCUACGUGUUGGUAAGUAACUCAAGACGAGUCAAGGAGAAACGAGCACCUACCCACCGGAGACGGUUGAAUGUGACGACGACGACGAAUCUGAAAUCAGAGGUUGUUGAGGAUUCUUCGAAGGGAAGUCCCUUUCUAUUAGCAGGUUGGGCAAAUUUUCAUUUGAGGGUUCUGUUAUCCUGGAAGUUAGUUGUUGUAUAGUUUUGAAGUGGUUUUAUGCAGGUUUUUUGAUUGUGAUCUACCAUUAAUGGCAUUGAAAGUUGGAACAGGCAAAACCAAAUUCUUGAUGCCUGCAAUGUUUGCGAUAUGCUUGCGAAGAGGGGCUUCAAGUUGACAACUGUUGGAGUUAGCCUUUGGUGGCUAUGCUUAGAAACUUUAGGUAUUUUUGUAAUAUUUAAAUUGGAAUUGAAUACUAGUGAAUUUGGAAAUUGGCUUAUGUAAUUAAUGAAAGUGUAGUUUCGUAACUAAUGGUUCAUAUGUUUGUAAUGGUCAUUAUUGUCAAUGAAUGAAAUGGUUGAUUGGAAAUUGA